rnacentral:lncRNA from 13 species
AUUGAUAAGAGGAAUUUAGGGAGUGGCCUGCUGCAAAUAGCUAAGGCUAAGAGAGCCAAGAAAAGAGUAUGGGAUCUCACAAACAGGCAAGCCUGCGAGAGGAAAGGCAGCUCGGGGGUUGACAGAAAGACCACUUCAACAGCAGUGAGAAGAAGGAAUCGGAGGUGGGUGAGGCGAGAGUCAAAGAGAACAGCCAGAGGAUGUUUGCAGUUAUCCAGGGGAGUAGAGCUGCUCGAAUGUGAAUAUCCUGGCAGGAGAGGGCAGCUGUGCUCACAGUGA